CUUCUCACCAGGAUGAUAAUGGACUUCUGAAACUCAUCUGAUGGAACCAGGAUAGAAAUCAGACCGUGAAUUUCCUAAAACUCCAGACAGGAAGUGCUGUCACUGCCAGUCAUCCUGAGAGAGGAAGGACCAGAAGACCAAUGCACCUCCUCA